rnacentral:rRNA from 1 species
AUGAGAUCCGGCGAUGCCGGCCACCAGGACUCGCUGCAGCUCUGGCCGCAACCACCUCCGGUCUUCAACCCCGACGCCCUCCAUGGCCCUCCUCGCGCUGCUGCUCCUUGGAGUCGCCCCUGUCAGCAACCAGCACGAGCUCGAGGCUGCCCUCUCCUUUUCCCUGCGCAGGAGCUCGCAGCUACCACCAUCGCCUCCUUGCUGUUGACAUCCCGAGGUUCCUUGUGUUGCUUCAUUUCAGGCCAUCAAGACCGGCAAGAUCGACUACAUGGACGCCAAGUACCAUGA